ensembl:lncRNA
GAAGGCCUACUUCUUUCUCGGUGUCUAUUAUUGCUAAUUGAGGAAAAGAAUCAAGUGUCCUUGUUUGUCUACAAUUAUCUGUAUUACUGUGAUAGAAAAGAUGAACAUGAUUCCUGUUGUGCAUACAAAGUUCAGUUGGCACCAUUCUGGAAACUGAAGAACUCCUCAAAAUUUUCACCUGGACAGCAAAGAAAUACAUUUCGAUUCUCAUCCCAACUCCAGUUAACAGGUGACAGCUCUGAUUUUGAUGGGGCUUCACAGAAAGAGAUAUGCCAUAAGCAAGAGAAGAAACUUCUUAGGGGGAAAAGGGCAUGUAUGACAUAUACAUUGUCACCUCUGCUCUGAAGAAAACGUGGCACGGGUUCAGACACAAUGAAUCCUUGUAGAGUUCUUUGAUAAAUUAUCUUCAAGGAUCAGAAGAACUGAAAAUGAUACAAUUUUGAGUUUAUAACUAAGUUUUGUUGGCUCCUAUAGACUAUUUUAGAUGGUAUGUCUUUCUAGAAAGUGAGACUACUUAUUAUUGUUUUAAUCUGAUGACCUCUGAGAAGAAUUGCUGAAAUCAGGUUUCAGUUUUUUCCUUUAGGAAACAAAAGUUCAUUGUACAGAAGCAUUCUUAGAGAACAUAAAAUACAAAUUACCAUUUCAUUCAGUAGCAUACAAUGAAACAAGCCUGUACAUCUUUAACACUGUAUUUUAAUGACCAAUGAGAUUUCCAGUAAAGAGGUUUUAAUGUGCCUACAGAAUGCCGUCACCUUCCUAUGAUGCACUGACUAAUGUAACAAAAAUAGAAACCAAAUCAAAGUUCAGAAGUAAAAAUGAAACAUUUUAAUCAAAUGAUUACUAGUGCUGAUUUUUAUAAUAAAAGUAGCUAUUUAGAAUUUGUAAAAUAACAGCAAAGCACUUAAUCUCCUUACUGUAUCUAACCUCAUUAAAGUAUUAAGAGGUAGUUAUUAAGCUGCCAAAAAUAUAUCUAGGGAACAUUGUAUUUCAAAUAUUACUAUGACUAAGUAACAUCUGAAAAUAAAAUCGCAUACUUAUUGCCCUGGGUUAUUUUAACUAGCAGUUGUUUCAUUGUAGAACUGCAAGGAUUUUUAGACUAAUUUAAAUAAUAUAGAGUUUUAAAAAUUCACACUGAAAACACUUUAUAUUUAAGAAGAUAGGUUUUCUGCUCAAAAAAUAUGCCUAAACAAAGAGGGCUGCUGGGUGGCUCGGUUGGUUAAGCGUCCAUCUCUUGAUUCCAACUCAAGUCAGGUUCUCACGGUUCGUGAGCUUGAGGCCCAUGUUAGGCUCUGCGCUGACAGCUUGGGAUUCUCUCUCUCUCUCUCUCUCUCUCUCUCUCUCUCUCUCUCAAAAUAAAAUUUAAAAAAAACUUAUAAGAAGAUAAGUUUUCUGUUUAAUAUUGUUUUCCAGUCAUCUGCUUUGAAAGAGAUAGUAGCCUUAAAAAAAACCCUCCUCUCUGCCAUGUUGCAAACUGCUGGCUAAGAAAAAAAUUCUAAAUCAGUCAAUAAGCUCAAUACUUAGCAAUUAGCUUUUUAUUGGUUUGUGGUGAAGAAAAUUAUGCCCAACUGGAAAAAGAGCAUUAUGCUGUUGACAUAAAAUUUCACAAUUGUAACUGUUUUGCCUAUCAACGGACAUAAAAGCAAGAAACCAAAGAUAAAGGAAGUAGGUAUUUCUUCAUCACACUUCCCAAGAGGAGAGACUAGCAAUUCAAACAGGGAGACUGUUAAGCGGGAAAUAAUGACAUUUGCCUCAGGCUCUAGAGCUCCGAGUUAGCUAGGAAAAGGGAGUGAGGGUGAACCUCACCUGAGAUCCUGCCCCGCUCCAACACCAGCUCAAAAAGAAGCACGAAAACUGUUUAAUUUCCCUCCAUUAGGCACAUUCCAGCUGCAGUCUAUAACCGAGGCACCAAUUCCCACCUGAGGGGUGUUAUAACUGAAUCACACAGAGAUCUUAAGAAUGAGUUCCAACAGCAUCAAUGGGGCUCUGCUAUUAACUUGAUCUCAUAAAAGUACUAAAUGAUUUUGUAACUUAAAUAUCAAAAGCUGGGAAAAGGAGACAAUAAAAACUAAUGUAUUAAUGUACAAUGUAAACC